rnacentral:rRNA from 1 species
CCUACGGGAGGCAGCAGUGAGGAAUAUUGGUCAAUGGCCGGAAGGCUGAACCAGCCAUGCCGCGUGAAGGUCAGUGCCCUAUGGGCGUUAAACUUCUUUUGUGCGGGAGCAAUAAUGGUCACGUGUGGCCAGACGAGAGUGCCGUACGAAUAAGCAUAGGCUAACUCCGUGCCAGCAGACGCGGUAAUACGGGGGUGGCAAGCGUGAUCCGGAUUUAUUGGGUUUAAAGGGUGCGUAGGCGGGGAGGUAAGUCAGCGGUGAAAUGCCCCCGCUCAACGGGGUGAAGUGCCAUUGAUACUGCCGUGCUGGAAUGCGGAUGCCGUGGGAGGAAUGUGUGGUGUAGCGGUGAAAUGCAUAGAUAUCACACAGAACACCGAUUGCGAAGGCAUCUCACGAACCCUCGAUUGACGCUGAGGCACGAAAGCGUGGGUAUCAAACAGGAUUAGAUACCCGAGUAGUC